rnacentral:rRNA from 1 species
UACGUAGGGUGCGAGCGUUGCCCGGAUUUAUUGGGCGUAAAGGGCGCGCAGGCGGCCACGCACGUCCGUUGUGAAAUCGCCCGGCUCAACUGGGCGGGGUCAGCGGAUACGGCGUGGCUGGAGCAAGCUAGGGGGCAAUGGAAUUCCCGGUGUAGUGGUGGAAUGCGUAGAUAUCGGGAGGAACACCUGUGGCGAAGGCGGCCGACUGGGCCGACCCUGACGCUGAGGCGCGAAGGCGUGGGGAGCGAACGGG